AAAACGACUCUCGGCAACGGAUAUCUCGGCUCUCGCAUCRAUGAAGAACGUAGCGAAAUGCGAUACUUGGUGUGAAUUGCAAAAUCCCGUGAACCAUCGAGUCUUUGAACGCAAGUUGCGCCCUAAGCCAUUUGGCCGAGGGCACGUCUGCCUGGGCGUCAAUC
rnacentral:rRNA from 1 species